AUGACAUUUAUUGCACACAAUGGUGAUGAUGCGGCGCUUGCUUUGAUGUGAUUACAAUUGAAAGGAAAAGAGGAAAAUCCAUACUCGAAGUGAAAUCAACCGACGUCAGGACGCCAAGUGUUGUUUCUGUUGAACGACGGGAGCAGAACCGUUGUUUUCUCGUUGCCUCGUUGAUUGGGGGGAAAUCGGAGAAGUGAAAUAACGACAACAAAAGGAGGUUCAUAUCACGACCUCACGACGAGAAGUGUCAAAGCCUGGGUCUUCUGCUGCUGUGUGUGACGCCGAUGAAUGAGGUGAGAGUUUAAGAAGUCAUGUGAAAGCGCAGCGUAGUUGUUGCGGUGAUGCUUUUGAAGUGUGUUCAAGUCAACGAAAAAAGGUGGUGUCCUGUUUCGUGUUGUUUACGAAAAGAUUAAAAUCGGUUUUACAAGGGGCGAGAAAAGAAAAGAAGCACUAAUAGAAGGGAAGGUGUUUCGUCUGGAAUGUGGAAAAUCUGGCAAAGGGCUGUAAAAGUGCAGUGAGUCUAUGACGACAGAAAUGUUUUGAUUUUGAUUGUUUUUGAUCUUCUCUCUGAGUCGGACGAGAAGAGUUCUAACAACAACAACAAUCGUUGGUGGUUGGGGAGACGAUUUGCAAUCAGCUGGGAGACGGAAAAUUGCUGUUGGAUUGAUUGAUUUGUUCUCGUUAAAGCGCAAGGAGGUGAUUGUUAGACGGACAAUCUUUGGGAUGUCGAAAAUCGGAUGCUGAAGGCCGAUUACAUUUUCAUGUAUCGGCCACCGAGAACAGUCUUGUUUGUGGCUAUCCAGCAUGUUGCAUGCAAGUCGUAUCACACAGCAGAAACAUUUGGAUGAAUCAUAGUUAAGACAGGGGACCCGGAUAAAUGGCAAUCGAACAAUGCAACGAUCAUUGGAUUCACGACUCGGACAAAUGGACACAAUGGACUCACGGGAAGAUAGACCAGCAACGACAACAACAAUUAAUAAUGGAAAAAUAUAAAAAUAGAUUCUGUGUGAAUUCUGGCUGCAGAAUACCAUAGUAGAUCUCGCCACAGUAGCGGUUAAGUAACACAGAGUGCCUAUACCAAAUAAAGUAAGGAAUAAAA